AGUGAACGCUGGCGGUAGGCCUAACACAUGCAAGUCGAACGGCAGCACAGUAAGAGCUUGCUCUUACGGGUGGCGAGUGGCGGACGGGUGAGGAAUACAUCGGAAUCUACUUUUUCGUGGGGGAUAACGUAGGGAAACUUACGCUAAUACCGCAUACGACCUACGGGUGAAAGCAGGGGAUCUUCGGACCUUGCGCGAUUGAAUGAGCCGAUGUCGGAUUAGCUAGUUGGCGGGGUAAAGGCCCACCAAGGCGACGAUCCGUAGCUGGUCUGAGAGGAUGAUCCGCCACACUGGGACUGGACAACGGUCCAGACUCCUACGGGAGGCAGCAGUGGGGAAUAUUGGACAAUGGGCGCAAGCCUGAUCCAGCCAUACCGCGUGGGUGAAGAAGGCCUUCGGGUUGUAAAGCCCUUUUGUUGGGAAAGAAAAGCAGCAGGUUAAUACCCCGCUGUUCUGACGGUACCCAAAGAAUAAGCACCGGCUAACUUCGUG
rnacentral:rRNA from 1 species